ACGAAGGAUGCAAGCGUUAUCCGGAUUCAUUGGGUUUAAAGGGUGCGUAGGCGGAUUGGUAAGUCAGUGGUGAAAGCCGGCAGCUUAACUGUCGAACGGCCAUUGAUACUGUCGAUCUAGAGUACAGAUGACGUUGGCGGAAUAUGACAUGUAGUGGUGAAAUACUUAGAUAUGUCAUAGAACACCGAUUGCGAAGGCAGCUAACGAAACUGUAACUGACGCUGAGGCACGAAAGUGCGGGGAUCAAACAG
rnacentral:rRNA from 1 species